GAGGUAUGCUGAGAGAGCCCUAUGGUCGCC
rnacentral:sRNA from 1 species